AUGUCAUACCACCGUGUUGAUGAAUUGAUGAUUUCCAGAGAAAACUGAACAGGCAACCCAUCUGCCUGAGGAGCUUUGCUGGGAGAACCUCCCUGAGUGAUGUUUGUCAGGGAAAUCCCUAGCUUCUCUUGGAGAAUCCCUGAGAAUCAUAGAACAUUAAGGCCAGCAGUGAGCUUAAAGCAAUCGGAGCUUAUUUUACUGCCUACGGCAGAUGAGACAACUCAGGGCCAGAGUCGUUAAGUGACUUAAUUCAAGAUAACAUCUAGUUCGUAGCCAAGCAAAGACUCUACUAAUAAAGGUGUUCCGCUCCAGGAAAGCAUUCUGAGUUCUGACAUUCCGAGUUUGACCUUUUUGUUCAGUUGUGUCUCACUCCACACCAUCGAGCUUAAACCUACAGUGUGAGGAGUAAACACUGGCCCUCGGUCUAAUGAAAUUUCAAGAGGAGAUAAGGGGAGGAAAAGCGUUCCUGCAAACCGCUUGGGAUGGGAUGUCAGCUCGCCCCUGCGAGGGAGCACUGCCAAACGUGCCCGUGCAGCGCCGUCUCCAGAGCGCGGCCAAUCCACCUCCGCUUUCCGCCACGAGCAUCCGCUAGCUGUCAGGCGCUGCCCACACGUGAUCCCGGGAGACCUGGCCUCCUGCAGGUGUCCCCGUGGUGGAUGGGGCACAGGGCCGCGCGGCGGCCGUCUGCUAAGGCUGCGGAGCCCGCCACGCGAGGGACGGGCAACGGUCGCGAUGCCGGGGGCCGGUCACUUCCUCGGGUAGUGGAUACUUUCAGCUCCAACCGAGCCAACCUCCAGAAAGCCCUGGCUAGCCUUCUGGGGGCUCCGCCACCUGCGCCGCCGUCCCCGCGGGAGACCCGCUCUGCGUCACCGUGACGACCCACUCCUACGCAGGGGCCUCCCUCCUCAAAGCGGCCGCCCAGCGUCCCCGCGCCUCCAUUCUCACCCGCGGCCGCCGCGCCACCGCCUGCUGCACGCGCUCGUUCACUGCCCGCAGUGCGAACCCGACUCCCAGCUCCGCCGACAUGCUGCCAGCUCUCCACAUCCCCCGGGACCCACCCGCGCGGGGACCCCCGCACCCCCAGGCCGAGACCGCCUUCCGGUCCCGCCCCGCGCACGUCUCGUGGGGCCCAAUCGCCGUUCACCAGCCAGUCGGCUCACCCAAUCGACAGCGGGCAACGCGGGGGCGGGACGGGGCGGCAGGCCCCGCCCCGCGGCGGCGGCCAUUUUGGGGAGGACGCGGGGGCCUGGGGCGUGGAGGCCCGCCUGCCGUGGUUCCCGUGCCCCCCGCGCGCCCCCCGAUGGGAGCCUUCCGCGUCCAGCUGCCGGAGCCGCCCCCACCGCCGCCCCCGCGGGAGCUUCCUCCGAAAGGCCGCGGCCUAUUCGGGGGUCCUCGUCUCUACAGACGUCCCGCAGGUGGGCCCGUCGGCCCCGGCGGUCAGAGCCGGGAACCGAGACGUCCGCGCGGGGACCGGGACUCGAAGCCGCUAGGGCGGGAGACACGGCUCUUAGUGGAGGAACCGGUAUGAGAGAAAAGAACGCUGUUUCUCAGGAAGGCGGCGUGGUUCAAAUGUGUGGUCAUUGAUCCCUGUGGCCCCGGAGUCCGGGGCUGCCCAGGUCGCGGUCCGCGCCGGAACACAAGGCAUCCCCGACAGGGGCAUAAAAAGAUUUUAUUUUUGAGUAAUCUCCACACCCAAGUGGGGCUUGAGCUUAACGGCCGAGGUCGGGCGUCGCCAGCUCUACCCGUGGAGUCCGCCGGCCCCGGGAGACCGUUUCGUGGUACUUGCUCACAGCCGCCUCGGUUCGGGACCGCGUCUCCAGAGGUCAGCGCCGCCUGCGGCCCCGCCGCCUCAUCCCGGAGCUCACGCAGAGUUGGAGCCUGUCAGUUUAAGCAUGUCAGGUUCACCCAGUCCUUCCUCUGUACAUCUCUUCACACGAUCCUGGUCACUCUAAUCCCCUUUGCUCCUCCCACCACUGACUUGCCGCCCAGCACCUUUCAACUCGGGUAUAAACUGACAGGCUACUUCACGUUUUUUUCUUAGAGAGCUGAGCAAGUGGGACACGCGGGGUGUUGCAGAGGGAGAGAACCUUUACCAGGCUCCAUGCCCAGCACAGAGCCUGACGCAAGGCUCCACCCCAGGACCCUGAGAUCAAGCAUGACCGGAGCCAAAAUCAAGACUUGGAUGCUUAACUGACUGAGCCACACAGGUGCCCCUGUGUUUUUAAGAAAACAUCUUAAAAACUAUAGAUACCUCAUCAGAUCUAAAAGAUGUACCCACAAUCUAGGAGAUACGUUAUUAUGACAACAGCAGGGGUCUUCAUUUAAUAGAUUUAAUAGGUCAGUUGUCUUCUUUGACUUCUAAGGUCAACCUCCUUUCAUUCCCCAUAUUCUAAGUGUGUGUGGCUCCCAAGAAGGCAUCAGAAGAGUGACUUAAAAUUUCAAGUUAGUAAGGAUAGUGGUGCCAAGAUUGGGCACCGGUGGCAUAGAAUUGACACACACUGAAUCUUGGAUUCCUCACUAAACUGUGAUCUAGGGUAAGUUACUGAAGUUCUCAAUUUUUCAUUUAUAAAAUGGAGUCCUUCCCUUCUGAGGUGCAGUGGUGAUCAAUCAAGACAGCAUGUGCGACACACUUAGCAGAGCGCUACCCCAAAGCAAGUGCAAAGUUUCAAUCAAUGUUAGUUCCUCCACCCUGCUAAUCUAUUCAGUCUACGUAUCUACAUAGAGGCGUUUCUCUGUAAAGGUAACUUGGGGAGAGACCAGCAUGAGUAAGACAGGCUUUCUUUUUAAUGGUGGAUUCGUUUCUAAGAUGCUUUUCUAUAACCUUAAGAAAAUGAAGUAAAGAUAAAAAGAUCAAGGUGACCCUAGUCUCAUUUCACAUUUUCCAGUGUCUUUCCCUCUCAGCUAUGCUUUUGAAUGAAUCGGAUUCCACUUUUUUCUUAGUUUUUUAGUAAUCUUCUCUUCCACACUCUGGGACAUCAUCUAAUUUAACACUUCAUUCUUUCCUACUAGUCCUUGAAAAAUGAAGGUCCACAAUCGCUUCAUCACCUGUACUAUCUUCAAAUUGCUCCAACAGUUUGCAAGGGCAAAGAGGGAAAGAGAUUAAAAAGCCAAAUACCCAGAAGAACAGAUUUUAUAAAGAAUUUUAUAAAAAAAAUUAUACUUUCACCAUAAAUGUCAUCAAGCGUUUAAAACAUUCACCUGUCAUCUGAGGCCAUGAAUUAUGAGAAAAACAUUCAUGGAUUUAAAAACUGCUUCCUUCUGAGUUUACUGUGAUUCUUUUGGGGGAUUAAAAAAAGAUAAAUAGAAAAUUAUAGUUGCCUGAUUACUUGGCUCUAAAGAGAAGCAUAGAGAUAAUGCUCAUGUCCCAGUUUAAAUGAAUUGAGGUAGAGAAGCCAUGACAACAAUCGCUCAGCAAACAUACUGUCACAUUUGCUUUUGGUUUUUUUUUUUUUUUUCACAUUUGGCUUUUGAAAUGUGAAUACAGAUUCUGGAAUCAGAGACCUGGGGAAGACCUUUAGAGAUCAUUUGAUCUUUCAUAUAGAAAGAAUGACAUUUAAACCAUCCCAAACAACAUAGAAUCUCCCCAAUUUCUGAAGACUAUCAGAGAAGAAAAUGUUAUCCAUGCUAAUCCCUGGAUUUAUUUUCUAUUUGCACACAACUACUGAUUUCAAAUUUUAGCCAAUCUUAGGUGAAAUUUUAAAAAAUACUCUAUUUUGCAAACUAAUUUCCUCUUCAUUGGUCUCAGAGGAGCUUGAGAAGACCUAGCCAACUCUUAUGCAACUUUUAUAAAUGUAAAGUCAUUAAAUUCCCCUUCUGCCUUUUAUGGGGCCAACCUAUGGGCUUUAUUUUUUUACUUUUUAAAUUUUGGUUUUAACAUGUUUUGCUAGCCUCCUCUUAAAAUUUUUUCCCCCCAAAUCGGAGCCCAGAACUGGGAAUUCCUUUUUAAGAGGGCCACCACACCUGCUUAUUUGUACAUAUGACAUUUCCGUAGAUGUAUGCAUUCUCCAUACAUAUUGGCUGCCUUCCAAUAUUGUUCCCUUUUCCCUCUCUGCGCUGUGCAAUAUGAAAUCUUAUCAUCACAUUUCUUUGACUUUCUACUUAGUGGUACCCACUUAAAUAACUGUGUGCUUUCUAGGCUGUUUCCCCAAAUGACUGAAAACAUACAUGCCAGGCCCACUGCUAACCCCCUCACAUGAAGGAUUUCAUUUAAUCUAUUCAACCCAUUUUAUAGAUGAAGAAACUGAAGUUCAGAGAGGUUAAGUAAUUUAAGACCAUAUACAUAGGAGGCCACCUGGGUAGCUCAGUUGAGCCCCUGCCUUUGGCCUAAGGCGUGAUCCUGGGGUCCUGGAAUCAAGUCCCACAUCGAGCUCCCUGCAUGGAGCCUGCCUCUGUGUGUCUCUCAUGAAUAAAUAAUCUUAAAAAAAAAAAAAAAAAAAAAAGACCAUAUACAUAGGAAGUGGUAGAGCUGGGAUCUGUAUCAUGGCAGUUUAACCCCAGGAACUACAUUCUUAGCUAUUCAAUUCUAAGUUCAUAUUAUUUGUGUAGUGGCUUUCAAACCAAUAGAGGAAGUUUGAGACACCAUUAAAAAUCUGAGAAAGGGACACCUGGGUGGUCUAGUGGUUGAGGAUCUACCUUUGGCUCAGGUCAUGAUCCUGGGGUUUUGGGAUUGAGUAACGCAUCAGGCUUCCUGUGGGGAGCCUGCUUCUCCCUCCGCCUAUGUCUCUGCCUCUCUGUUGUCUCUCAUGAAUAAGUAAGUAAAAUCUUAAAAACAAAAACCCCCACAAAAUCCGAGAAAGCUGGGCUAGGGUUACAACAUUUGGCAGAUAAAUUAAUACAGGAUAUUCAGUUAAAUGUGUGGGUCAUAUGAAAACAUAAUUUUUCAGUAUGUCUCAUGCAGUAUCUGAGACAUACUAAUGCUAAAAGUUGUUUCUAUGAAAUUCAGAUUGAACCAAGCAUCAUGUAUUUUAUUUGGCAGCCUUACACUGGCCAGCUUACCAGAGCAGAGAUGGACUUUUUUACUUAUUUGAUAUAAAAAUGAGUUUUGGGUCAACUGAAAGGAUCUCUACCCUAGAGGGUAAUUGCAGAAGUGAAUGGAUUCUUUAAAAUAAUCAAUUUCCAUAACACCUAUCAAGAAUCAUGCCAUGUUUACAAAUUAGUAAUUUAUUGUUUCUACAUUGAUAAUGGGGAUAUUCAUCAGAAUAUAUUUUUAGGGUCAUCUUGUACUUAACUCACUGCAGAGGGAUGUUUUAUUUCUUUUUAUCACCUAUCCUAAUAUUAGCUAUUGCUGAAUUUCUCUUUAAUAAAAAAGUAGAUGCAAAGACUUUAUUUAGCAAGACUGAAAAUAAAACUAAGAUAUAAAUUCUCACCUUUAGUAUUGUCUAAAACAAUUCCUGCAGCUAUCAACGCACCCAAGGUAAUUAGUCCAGCAUAUGAGAGUGAUUAAUAAAACAUUUUGCAUUUACGAAGGGGGUCAAUUAAACUCUCGAGGCUUUGAAAGUAGAGUUAGUCUGACUAGUCAAUCACCAGCUUACACAAAAACAGAAAUAAAAAGAAAUGGAAAUACAAACAGAAACUGAUUGGCUAUUACCUCUUUUCUAAGGAAGCAAUAGAGACAGUGGCUCAAACCCUACUGAAUAGAACUAAAGAAGUAGCAGUUAAGUUCACAGACACAGAGCAGCCACUAGCCAACACACAGGUUUAUUCUCAACUGAGGAUUGAGGUUUAUCUUCAAACUUAAAUUGAUCAGAUCGCUAGUAAAUACUUGAUCUCACUUUCACAACUUACUCUCUGUAAAUGGCAAAGUUAUCAGUGCUGAAAGAUACACAGGCUCAUAGAAAUUACAACAGACUAUUUAGAAAACAACUUUUUUUUUGGGUCAACACAUUGCCAAAAUUCUUUAAAUUAUUUUUUUCCCUCCUUCAACUUGAUAUGACCACAGAUUCCUUCAAAUUUAUUUUAGGCUUAUAAAAAUUAUUAACAAACUUUGGCUUCCUUGCAAAUAUUCUGUCCUUAUAUUAAAAAAGUGAUUAAAAACA